UACUUGAAUUUAGGUUUUUUAACUUCGAUUUGGGUGGCGGACGGGUGAGUAACGCGUAAAGAACUUGCCUCACAGUUAGGGACAACAUUUGGAAACGAAUGCUAAUACCUAAUAUUAUGAUUUUAGGGCAUCCUAUAAUUAUGAAAGCUAUAAGCGCUGUGAGAGAGCUUUGCGUCCCAUUAGCUAGUUGGAGAGGUAACGGCUCACCAAGGCGAUGAUGGGUAGCCGGCCUGAGAGGGUGAUCGGCCACAAGGGGACUGAGACACGGCCCUUACUCCUACGGGAGGCAGCAGUGGGGAAUAUUGGACAAUGGACCAAGAGUCUGAUCCAGCAAUUCUGUGUGCACGAUGAAGUUUUUCGGAAUGUAAAGUGCUUUCAGUUGGGAAGAAAAAAAUGACGGUACCAACAGAAGAAGUGACGGCUAAAUACGUGCCAGCAGCCGCGGUAAUACGUAUGUCACGAGCGUUAUCCGGAUUUAUUGGGCGUAAAGCGCGUCUAGGUGGUUAUAUAAGUCUGAUGUGAAAAUGCAGGGCUCAACUCUGUAUUGCGUUGGAAACUGUAUAACUAGAGUACUGGAGAGGUAAGCGGAACUACAAGUGUAGAGGUGAAAUUCGUAGAUAUUUGUAGGAAUGCCGAUGGGGAAGCCAGCUUACUGGACAGAUACUGACGCUGAAGCGCGAAAGCGUGGGUAGCAAACAGGAUUAGAUANCCUGGUAGUCCACGCCGUAAACGAUGAUUACUAGGUGUUGGGGGUCGAACCUCAGCGCCCA
rnacentral:rRNA from 1 species